rnacentral:rRNA from 1 species
UACGUAGGGUGCAAGCGUUGUCCGGAAUUACUGGGCGUAACGGGCUCGUAGGCGGCCUGUUAAGUCGAACGUGAAAUCCCCGGGCUCAACCCGGGAACUGCGUCCGAUACUGGCAGGCUUGAAUUCGGGAGAGGGAUGUGGAAUUCCAGGUGUAGCGGUGAAAUGCGUAGAUAUCUGGAGGAACACCGGUGGCGAAGGCGGGAUCCUGGACCGAUACUGACGCUGAGGAGCGAAAGCGUGGGGAGCGAACAGG